AUGUAUGCUCAGCUUAACAUUAAACUAAGUAACUACAUAAACAUAUCAGUAUAUGAAAAAAACACCAACUAGUCCUCACUCUGCCAAUCGGGUUGAUUCUUCGGUUUAGCACUAGAAACAACGGGGACCGGUUCAAUAAUACUUCUCAGUCUACAACGGUUUACAUAACCGAUCGAAGAUUAUUUUCCAAUUAAUAAUCCAUGAUUCAAUCUAAUAACCAAAACUUGAUUUAAUUGUUUUUGGUAUUUUCCUCCAAUUAAAUUAGUUAGACUUUGUUUAAUAAUUAAACAAAACAAAAAUCUAAUAAUUUAAUAACACCACAAUUCAAUAAUCCAAGGUAACAUAAUUAAGUUUGGCUUAAUACCAAAACCCAACCGAGACUAAUCGUCACGAAGCCACCACUGUUACACGUGACCAACAAACCAAAGUCAUCUCACGCUUCCUCAAUAAUUAAGUUCGGUUAUGGUCUUUAAUCAAAUAAGAAUUCCUUGGUUUAGACUGGUUUAGAACUGGUUCAAAAUCCAAAACAAAACAACAUGAGCAACACGAGUUAUAAACCUUCGCCGUUUACCUGUUUCUGCAACUUUCAUGGACGGAUCUGCUCGACGUCGACACGACGGUUCAACCUUACAGCGAUUUGUCCUCACGGCUCAAAGAUCAAAAGCAAAACAAGAGAAUAGAUUAUAAGCUAACAUCAGAAACUUCUUCUGAAAGUUAUAGGAUAAGUUUAGGGUUUCCUUACCCUUAGAGGCAUUAACGGCUACGACUGCUCCAGUGACAGCGGCUGGCAUCUCCGGUGACACACGGUGGCUGUGGUGGUCCUCCUCUCCCAUCCUCUAGCAUUUCUAUGUCUUUGCCGUUUCUCUCUUACCAAUGGCUAGAGCCAAUCGAGCACCAACGGCGGGUUCAAACUUGGAACGAUGGCAACAACGGCUUGAUCUCAUGAAUGUCACAACGGAGACCAUCUCGGCGACGACGCAACAACUAUGAUUUGAAGUUACGAAGGCUUAGGAUUUUAGAUCGUAACUUCGACCGCUUUACAAAACGACCAUUAAUCCGACAUCUUAUAGAAUGAACUGGGCUUUCCGAAGUUUCCGUAAUAGAGUUAGUUUCGAUUGGUUCCAACUGAGCUUCUUCCCACAA
rnacentral:lncRNA from 1 species